GCACCCGUAGUUCAAUGGAUAGAAUUGUGGUUUCCGGUACCAUCGAUAGGGGUUCGAAUCCCUUCGGGUGCACCA
rnacentral:tRNA from 1 species